UACGUAGGUGGAAAGCGUUAUCCGGAUUUACUGGGUGUAAAGGGCGAGUAGGCGGGAUUGCAAGUCAGAUGUGAAAACUAUGGGCUCAACCGAUAGAGUGCAUUUGAAACUGCAGAGCUUGAGUGGAGUAGAGGUAGGCGGAAUUCCCGGUGUAGCGGUGAAAUGCGUAGAUAUUAGGAGGAACACCAGUGGCGAAGGCGGCUUACUGGACGAUGACUGACGCUGAGGCUCGAAAGCGUGGGGAGCAAACAGG
rnacentral:rRNA from 1 species